AGAGCGAGGAUAGAUGUCUCCCUAGAGCCUUACCUGCUGCCCCUGGGGAGGUCUGGGGCUUCCACCCAGAGGAAGAGCAGGGGUGGUCUGGGCAGCCCAGGAGUCUGGGGGAAGGAAGCAAGCACCCUUACUCCUCAUGAUCUCUGUCCUGUUACCCUCCCCAGUGCCUGGGGCCAGGGCUAGGUGUGUGUUAUCUCACCUCAAACAGUGGCUCUGGGCUCCCCUGCCCAAGCUAAUGUCAUAGUGGAGGCCUCAGGCCCUGCACCAACAUGGUUCCGUAGUCCCUGGAGUCAGGCUGGGGGAGCCCAGGGCUGAGGCUCCCUUUCAUCCCCUCCCACCAGGAAAGGGUCUUUCUCGGUAUUUCCCACAAACACUCAUAUCACCACUUGACAGCCUUUUCAUUCCAUUCUCCCGCCUCUCUCAGCCCCACCACACCCCUGACACAUUCCUUCCCCCACUUCAGCUCCUGGAUCGCAGGCAGGGGCACCCUGCCUAUCCCCUCUCCCAAAGCGGGUGCCUGGGAG
rnacentral:lncRNA from 1 species